rnacentral:rRNA from 1 species
UACGUAGGUGGCAAGCGUUGUCCGGAUUUACUGGGCGUAAAGAGCGCGCAGGCGGCUGAUUAAGUCGAAUGUGAAAGCCCCCGGCUCAACUGGGGAGGGUCAUUCGAUACUGAUCAACUUGAAGGCAGGAGAGAGAAGUGGAAUUCCCGGUGUAGUGGUGAAAUGCGUAGAUAUCGGGAGGAACACCAGUGGCGAAGGCGGCUAUCUGGACGGUUUCUGACACUAAGACUCGAAAGCGUGGGGAGCAAACAGG